GGAACGGUACAACCAAGUGGCCAAGGUGACGCGGCAUGCCAUUGCCGCUGUGCGGAAACGCUUCGCAGGUUCGACUCCUGUCCGUUCCUCCA
rnacentral:tRNA from 1 species